AGUUGCCAUCUGUUGACGCCUUGC
rnacentral:siRNA from 1 species